rnacentral:rRNA from 1 species
AGCGCAGGCGGUCUUUUAAGUCUGAUGUGAAAGCCUUCGGCUUAACCGGAGAAGUGCAUCGGAAACUGGGAGACUUGAGUGCAGAAGAGGACAGUGGAACUCCAUGUGUAGCGGUGAAAUGCGUAGAUAUAUGGAAGAACACCAGUGGCGAAGGCGGCUGUCUGGUCUGUAACUGACGCUGAGGCUCGAAAGCAUGGGGAGCGAACA